rnacentral:hammerhead_ribozyme from 1 species
AGGCGAAACAGCUCCUUCGGGAGCUGUCAUCACUCUUUGGUCGGAGUGAUCUGAUGAUGCCAGCCAGUA